rnacentral:miRNA from 1 species
GUAAGUGGAUUUCAAACUUUGACGCC